CUGCAAUGAUGAGCGUAUUAUUUUCAGUUCUGCUACUGAAUUCUCUUGAAGACAACUCAUACCAGCUUACCUUUUUCUGAUAU
rnacentral:snoRNA from 1 species